rnacentral:rRNA from 1 species
AACGAACGCUGGCGGCAGGCCUAACACAUGCAAGUCGAACGCUCGUAGCAAUACGAGAGUGGCAGACGGGUGAGUAACACGUGGGAACCUUCCCUAUGGUUCGGAAUAGCUCAGGGAAACUUGGGGUAAUACCGGAUAAGCCCUUCGGGGAAAGGAUUUAUCGCCAUUGGAUGGGCCCGCGUCGGAUUAGCUAGUUGGUGAGGUAACGGCUCACCAAGGCAACGAUCCGUAGCUGGUCUGAGAGGAUGAUCAGCCACACUGGGACUGAGACACGGCCCAGACUCCUACGGGAGGCAGCAGUGGGGAAUAUUGGACAAUGGGCGCAAGCCUGAUCCAGCCAUGCCGCGUGAGUGGCGAAGGUCUUCGGAUUGUAAACUCUUUUGGCGGGACGAUAAUGACGGUACCCGCAGAAUAAGCCCCGGCUAACUUCGUGCCAGCCGCCGCGGUAAC